UACAUGCAAGUCGAACGCACUCUCGUUUAGAUUGAAGGAGCUUGCUCCUGAUUGAUAACAUUUGAGUGGAGUGGCGGACGGGGUGAGUAACACGUGGGUAACCUGCCCUAAAGUGGGGGAUAACAUUUGGAAACAGAUGCUAAUACCGCAUAAAACCUAACACCGCAUGGUGUAGGGUUGAAAGAUGGUUUCGGCUAUCACUUUAGGAUGGACCCGCGGUGCAUUAGUUAGUUGGUGAGGUAAAGGCUCACCAAGACCGUGAUGCAUAGCCGACCUGAGAGGGUAAUCGGCCACACUGGGACUGAGACACGGCCCAGACUCCUACGGGAGGCAGCAGUAGGGAAUCUUCCACAAUGGACGAAAGUCUGAUGGAGCAACGCCGCGUGAGUGAAGAAGGUUUUCGGAUCGUAAAACUCUGUUGUUGGAGAAGAAUGUAUCUGAUAGUAACUGAUCAGGUAGUGACGGUAUCCAACCAGAAAGCCACGGCUAACUACGUG
rnacentral:rRNA from 1 species